AUUGAACGCUGGCGGCAUGCCUAAUACAUGCAAGUCGAACGAAUGGCGGACGGGUGAGUAAUGUCUUGGAAACUGCCUGAUCUACGGGUAUAACUACUCGCAACCUUAGCUAAUACCGCAUACCCUCCUAUCUGCCCUGAUGGGAUUAGCUAGUGGGUGGGGUAAAGGCUCACCUAGGCGACGAUGCAUAGCUGGUCUGAGAGGGUGACCAGCCAAACUGGAACUGAGACACGGUCCAGACUCCGACGGGAGGCAGCAGUGGGGAAUAUGGCACAAUGGGCGCAAGCCUGAUAGAGCAAUGCCGCGUGUAUGAAGAAGGACUUCGGGUUGUAAAGUACUGUCAGCGGGGAGGCGGUACCCGCAGAAGAAGCACCGGCUAACUCCGUGCCAGCCGCCGCGGUAAUUC
rnacentral:rRNA from 1 species